AUUGAACGCUGGCGGCAUGCCUUACACAUGCAAGUCGAACGGUAACAGGUUAAGCUGACGAGUGGCGAACGGGUGAGUAAUACAUCGGAACGUGCCCAGUAGUGGGGGAUAGCCCGGCGAAAGCCGGAUUAAUACCGCAUACGACCUAAGGGUGAAAGGGGGGGAUCGCAAGACCUCUCGCUAUUGGAGCGGCCGAUGUCAGAUUAGCUAGUUGGUGGGGUAAAAGCUCACCAAGGCGACGAUCUGUAGCUGGUCUGAGAGGACGACCAGCCACACUGGGACUGAGACACGGCCCAGACUCCUACGGGAGGCAGCAGUGGGGAAUUUUGGACAAUGGGCGCAAGCCUGAUCCAGCCAUGCCGCGUGCGGGAAGAAGGCCUUCGGGUUGUAAGCCGCUUUUGUCAGGGAAGAAAUCCUUUGGGUUAAUACCUCGGGGGGAUGACGGUACCUGAAGAAUAAGCACCGGCUAACUACGUG
rnacentral:rRNA from 1 species